CCUACGGGAUGCAGCAGUGAGGAAUAUUGGUCAAUGGCCGGAAGGCUGAACCAGCAAAGCCGCGUGAAGGACGAAGGUUCCAAGCAUUGUAAACUUCUUUUGUCAAGGGACAAAAUCAGGCUCGAGAGCCUGACCGAGGGUACUUGAAGAAAAAGCAUCGGCUAACUCCGUGCCAGCAGCCGCGGUAAUACGGAGGAUGCGAGCGUUAUCCGGAUUUAUGGGGUUAAAGGGGUGCGUAGGCGGACUGUUAAGUCAGCGGUAAAAGCCCGGGGCUCAACCCCGGCGAGCCGUUGAAACUGGCUGUCUUGAGAUGUCGAGAGGUAUGCGGAAUGCGCAGUGUAGCGGUGAAAUGCUUAGAGAUUGAGAAGAACUCCGAUUGCGAAGGCAGCAUACCGGCGGAGAUCUGACGCUGAGGCACGAAAGCGUGGGUAUCGAACAGGAUUAGAUACCCCAGUAGUC
rnacentral:rRNA from 1 species